GACGAACGCUGGCGGCGUGCCUAAUACAUGCAAGUCGAGCGGACGGAUGGGAGCUUGCUCCCAGACCGUCAGCGGCGGGCGGGUGAGUAACACGUGGGCAACCUGCCUGUAAGACUGGGAUAACUCCGGGAAACCGGGGCUAAUACCGGAUAACUCUUUCCCUCCCAUGAGGGAAAGCUGAAAGAUGGCAUCUCGCUAUCACUUACAGAUGGGCCCGCGGCGCAUUAGCUAGUUGGUGAGGUAACGGCUAACCAAGGCGACGAUGCGUAGCCGACCUGAGAGGGUGAUCGGCCACACUGGGACUGAGACACGGCCCAGACUCCUACGGGAGGCAGCAGUAGGGAAUCUUCCGCAAUGGACGAAAGUCUGACGGAGCAACGCCGCGUGAGUGAUGAAGGUUUUCGGAUCGUAAAACUCUGUUGUCAGGGAAGAACAAGUACCGGAGCAACUGCCGGUACCUUGACGGUACCUGACCAGAAAGCCACGGCUAACUACGUG
rnacentral:rRNA from 1 species